CCCCGCCGCGCGCCUGGAGGACGGGCCCGGAGCGUGGGGCCGCGGCGCCGCCGAGAGUUGAGCGAGCUUUGUGACAGCUUGUAGGUGAGGAAUUUGUUGAGCAUCACCUGGCCGCCGGGUCCAAGGCUUUCUUGGAAACAGUACCCAAACCAGCACCUGUAAUUACCUUGAGCUGCCUUUCUUACCUCACUCAGUAGUGGUGAACUAAUGUAGAAAAUAUCAUCAGGACCAGAUCAAGAGGCCAGCCAUGACUAACAUGGAUCACCUGGAAUUGUCCUAAUUCUUGGCUAUGGGCAGCUCCAUGAGGUCAGUUGGGAGUGGGGACCCUGGUGUUGGGACGGAGAGCUGAUCAAGAAAGUGUAAAUGUGUCUGGAUCAGCAAAAAGUCUUUAUCACUCCUAGAAAUGCAACUCAGAGUCAC